CGACUUCCUGGCACUAGGACACCUUUGGAUGAUGAUCUAGGUCCCAUAUUUGAUGAGGAAGACGAUCUUGGUCCAGUCUUUGAUGAGGAAGCACCAAGCAUCAACAUGGACAGUCAUCUUUGCUUUGAUCCCGGCACAACUCCUCCCAUUUUAUCCACUGACAUUCAAGAGCACUGCUCGUCUUGAAUAUGUUCUAUGGUGUUUCAUGCCUUGAAAGCAUUCUGAUUUGCAACACCUUCUUUGAAAAACAUAUUGAGCCUUGGAAAAGCUGAAAUGUGUGCAACUUGUUCUUGGAAAAUAUAGCUUGAUUUCUGAUUUGCACAAGUACAUGUCUUGCACAUAUGAUCCUGGUAUUUUAAUGUUUGUUUUGAGUGUCCAGGAUAAACAGGUUCAGCCUCAGAGAAGAGAAAGCAUUGACCAUUCUUGUCAGCCUGAAAUUUGGAGAUGCAUUGAUACAUCCACUCAAACUGGCUACCUUGGAGAUGCCAGCGACACAGG